rnacentral:rRNA from 1 species
UACGUAGGGGGCAAGCGUUGCCCGGAUUUAUUGGGCGUAAAGAGCGUGUAGGCGGUCAGGUAGGUCCGUUGUGAAAACUCGAGGCUCAACCUCGAGACGCCGAUGGAAACCAUCUGGCUAGAGUCCGGAAGAGGAGAGUGGAAUUCCUGGUGUAGCGGUGAAAUGCGCAGAUAUCAGGAAGAACACCCGUGGCUAAGGCGGCUCACUGGCCCGAUACUGACGCUGAGGCACGAAAGCGUGGGGAGCAAACAGG